UACAGAGGGGGCAAGCGUUGUUCGGAAUUACUGGGCGUAAAGGGCGCGUAGGCGGCCGCCUAAGUCAGACGUGAAAUCCCUCGGCUUAACCGGGGAACUGCGUCUGAUACUGGAUGGCUUGAGUUUGGGAGAGGGAUGCGGAAUUCCAGGUGUAGCGGUGAAAUGCGUAGAUAUCUGGAGGAACGCCGGUGGGGAAGGCGGCAUCCUGGGCCAGCACUGAAGGUGAGUGAGCGAAAGCCAGGGGAGCAAACGGG
rnacentral:rRNA from 1 species